rnacentral:lncRNA from 1 species
UUGUUUACUUAUUUUGCUAUCCAGGCUGCUUUUGUUUAUCCUUGGUUGGAUAUAAUCUACCUUCUUCAGUGAUUCUUGAGAGACUCUGAGGAGGAGAACUCACAGGUGGGGAAAACAGUUGAUGCAGAAAUCCUUCUCAUUCUCCUUGUAAUGUCAGGCCACAAGCACAAUGAAAUAUCCUUCCUUCCUUGCAAGGUGGUGAGAAUGAU